AAUAAUUCUUGUGACUGGAGGUUUGUCAAUGAAACCUAAUGGAAGCAGAAGAGUUAAAAUUUUUAACUAAAGGGAUCAGUGACUGCACAACAUCCACCAUUAGAGGUCGAUAAUCAGCAGCAAUGGCAGCCACCUGUGGAAAUAUUGUAAGUUUCAUCAGCAGCUUGGUGAAGGCAUUCAUUUGAUGAUAUGUUGAUUUAAAAACAUUAAUAAAUAUCAUAGAAGUAAACCUUACCUGAAUUAGAUCCUUCUUUGAAUACUGUCCUUGUAUAGCUGGAUCAACCAUUUCGUCAAUUUUCUCUCUGUUUGUUAACCUUGGAAGUGCCUGUUAAAUUAUCAACAAUAUCUAAGCUAUUUAUGGCAUUGAAAUUAGAGACUUAUUUUAAUUUCAAAAAGUUGAUCAUGUUCUAGUUGUCUUUUAAACCUUGCAGGUGCAAGGUUAAAUUGUAAAAAGCUAUACAUAUCCGACAGUUGUGUCCAAUACAUAAAACUAUAUAAGAGAUUCCGUAUCUGACACUAACCCAUGAAACAAGGACAUGUUCUCCAGGAGGCCUCUUGAUGUCAACCGGUACGCGGCCUGUUAAAAGCUGUAAAAGCACCACACCAUAGCUGUAGACAUCUGAUUUUGUGGUAAGUUUGCCUUUGGAAGCGUAUCUGCAGUGCCAAAAUUGAUGGACUGAAAAUUCAAGACCAAGUUUGUGCACAAAUAUUUGCUUAUUUAUUCUGAUAAUGAAACAGAUGCAUGAUGGAGCACUCACUCGGGAGCUAGAUAGCCGGUGGUUCCCAGCACGCGUGUCAAAAUCUGACCAUUGAUCUUGUCUGAGCCCAUUUUGGCCAAUCCAAAAUUGGAGACCUUGGCUCCAAGGUUUUCAUCGAGUAAUAUAUUG
rnacentral:lncRNA from 1 species